rnacentral:rRNA from 1 species
CCCUUAGAUGUUCUGGGCCGCACGCGCGCUACACUGAUGCAUUCAACGAGUCUAAAACCUGCUCUGAUAGGGGUGGGUAAUCUUUUGAAUGUGCAUCGUGAUUGGGAUAGAUGAUUGCAAUUUUUCAUCUUCAACGAGGAGUGCCUAGUAAACGCAAGUCAUCAGCUUGCAUUGAUUACGUCCCUGCCCUUUGUACACACCGCCCGUCGCUCCUACCGAUUGAAUGAUCCGAUGAAUAUCAUAGACUGAGAGUAUAAGCAGGUUCGCCUGUCUUUGCUUCUCGGGAAGUGAAGUAAAUCUUAUCAUUUAGAGGAAGGAGAAGUCGUAACA